AGUGAACGCUGGCGGCGUGCUUAACACAUGCAAGUCGAACGAGAACGGGUUAUAGCUUGCUAUAAUUGUCAGCUAAGUGGCGCACGGGUGAGUAAUGUAUAGGUAAUAUGCCUCUUACUAAGGGAUAACAAUUGGAAACGAUUGCUAAUACCUUAUACUCCUUAUUAACAGAAGUUAAUAAGGGAAAGAUUUAUUGGUAAGAGAUUAGCCUGUAUUGUAUCAGUUAGUUGGUGUGGUAAUGGCUUACCAAGACUAUGACACAUAAAUGGUUUGAGAGGAUGAUCAGUCACACUGGAACUGAGACACGGUACAGACUCCUACGGGAGGCAGCAGUGGGGAAUAUUGCACAAUGGACGAAAGUCUGAUGCAGCAAGGCCGCGUGGAGGAUGACACAUUUCGGUGCGUAAACUCCUUUUAUAUGAGAAGAUAAUGACGGUAUUAUAUGAAUAAGCACCGGCUAACUCCGUGCCAGCCGCCGCCGUAA
rnacentral:rRNA from 1 species